rnacentral:rRNA from 1 species
AAACUUUCAACAAUGGAUCUCUUGGUUCCGGCAUCGAUGAAAAACGCAGCGAAAUGCGAUAACUAAUGUGAAUUGCAGAAUUCAGUGAAUCAUCGAGUCUUUGAACGCACAUUGCGCCCCCUGGUAUUCCGGGGGGCAUGCCUGUCCGAGCGUCAUU